rnacentral:lncRNA from 1 species
AUACAUAAGAUCGGAUCGGAUAAUGGAUCGAGACGGCCACUAUCCAAAUCCCAUCCGAUCCAAAAUAUAAAUUUAUUAGGUUUGGAUCAGAUCGAAUCAAAAUUCAAUCAAUAUGUUGACCUAUCCGACCCAUUAAGGUCAAAUCAGAUCGGGACCGUCUAGGUCGGAUGUAAUUGCCAAGUCUGCUCCUUAUCCAUGGG